rnacentral:rRNA from 1 species
AUAAGUUUGUUUUAUUUAUUAAUAGGUAUUGCAUACCGUUUUAGGAAAAUUUUAUAAAUUAUGAAAUAUAAAAAUAAAAGGUAGAAUAUAUUAAUUAAUUUUGUUGUUUCAUAACAAGAAUUAUUAGUAUUAGGGUUGAUAUGUCGACUUUUAUGAUAUUUGUUUCAUCGAUUACAUUAGAAAAUUAUGUAUUAUUAAAAAUUUAGGGUAAAUUAAUAAGUUGAAGUAUUAUUAUUUUAAGUUUUAUAACUUUUUAUCAUAGUUAUUGGUACACUAUUUUUUAUUUAUUAAGUUUUUAAUAAAUAAAUUAUUUAAAAAUUAGUAAAUUGGUUUUAUAAUAUAAUUAAUUAUAAUUUAAUAAGAUAAUUCAGAUAUUAAUCAAAUGUUUUUUAAAGACUUAGACUUUAUAUUAAAGUUUGCUUCUGCCCGGUGAUAAAUUAAAUGGCAGUCUUAGCGUGAGGACAUUAAGGUAGCAAAAUAAUUUGUGCUUUUAUUGAGUUCCAGUAUGAAUGGAGUUAUUGGUUAAUUUAUUUUCUUAUUUUAAAUUGAAUUUUUAUUUGUAUAAAAAAGUAUAGUUGUAAUUAAACAAAGAUAAGUCUUCGGAAAUUUUUUUUAAUAUGCUUAUGAUUUUUGUAUAUUAAAGUUUUCUAGGGCAGAAUUUUAUAUAAUUUGUUAUUUCUAUCGAUAAUUUAAUAAAUUACUCCGGAGUUAACAGAAAAUCAUACCUAAUCUAGUUGUUAUAGUGGGGUAAGUUUUACAUCGAUGUUGUAUUUAAGUAUAUUAAAAAAGGAGAAGAUUUAGUAAUUAAGACUGUUCUUCUUUUAAUUAACUUAACGUGAUAUUAGUUUAAUUCAUUGUG